GACGAACGCUGGCGGCGUGCUUAACACAUGCAAGUCGAGCGGAAAGGCCCUUUCGGGGGUACUCGAGCGGCGAACGGGUGAGUAACACGUGAGUAAUCUGCCUCUGGCUUCGGGAUAGCCACCGGAAACGGUGAUUAAUACCGGAUACGACGCAUCACUGCAUGGUGUGUGCGUGGAAAGUUUUUUCGGCCAGGGAUGUGCUCGCGGCCUAUCAGCUUGUUGGUGGGGUAAUGGCCUACCAAGGCUUCGACGGGUAGCCGGCCUGAGAGGGUGACCGGCCACACUGGGACUGAGACACGGCCCAGACUCCUACGGGAGGCAGCAGUGGGGAAUAUUGGACAAUGGGCGGAAGCCUGAUCCAGCAACGCCGCGUGAGGGAUGACGGCCUUCGGGUUGUAAACCUCUUUCAGCACAGACGAAGCGCAAGUGACGGUAUGUGCAGAAGAAGGACCGGCCAACUACGUGCCAGCCGCCGCUGUAACAC
rnacentral:rRNA from 1 species